rnacentral:ncRNA from 1 species
AAAGUCCAAUCCGGCCAAAGCCGUAGCGGGCAGGCCGGGACCGAGUCUUGCGGGCGUCGCGGCGACGCGGGGUCUGAAGUGUAGACAGGGGCCGUGCAGGGUGCGGGAUAGAGCCUCGAAAGGUGGAAGGUCGCGGAGGCCGAGCUGCUUCCCUACCAGCGAAGGCCGCAUGUGCAUCGUCGAUAGGCGAGACGAUGUCGCUCCGCCGGGGUCGAAGGCCG